GAGUUUGAUCAUGGCUCAGAUUGAACGCUGGCGGCAGGCUUAACACAUGCAAGUCGAGCGCGAAAGGGUUUCGGCCUGAGUAGAGCGGCGGACGGGUGAGUAACGCGUGGGAAUCUGCCUGGUAAUGGGGGACAACAUCUCGAAAGGGAUGCUAAUACCGCAUACGCCCUAAGGGGGAAAGUGGGGGAUCUUCGGACCUCACGUUAUCAGAUGAGCCCGCGUCGGAUUAGCUAGUAGGUGGGGUAAAGGCCCACCUAGGCGACGAUCCGUAACUGGUCUGAGAGGAUGAUCAGUCACACUGGAACUGAGACACGGUCCAGACUCCUACGGGAGGCAGCAGUGGGGAAUAUUGGACAAUGGGGGCAACCCUGAUCCAGCCAUGCCGCGUGUGUGAAGAAGGCCUUCGGGUUGUAAAGCACUUUAAGUUGGGAGGAAGGCUAUUUGGCGAAUACCCAAGUAGAUUGACGUUACCAACAGAAUAAGCACCGGCUAACUCCGUGCCAGCAGCCGCGGUAA
rnacentral:rRNA from 1 species